rnacentral:rRNA from 1 species
CCUACGGGAGGCUGCAGUGAGGAAUAUUGGUCAAUGGGCGCGAGCCUGAACCAGCCAAGUCGCGUGAGGGAAGACGGCCCUACGGGUUGUAAACCUCUUUUGCCGGGGAGCAACGGGCGCCACGUGUGGCGCCACUGAGAGUACCCGGAGAAAAAGCAUCGGCUAACUCCGUGCCAGCAGCCGCGGUAAUACGGAGGAUGCGAGCGUUAUCCGGAUUUAUUGGGUUUAAAGGUGGCGUAGGCGGAGCGUUAAGUCAGUGGUCAAAUUGAGGGGCGCAACCAGGGCCGGCGGGUGAAACUGGGGAUCUUGAGUGGGCGAGAGGUAUGCGGAAUGCGUGGUGGAGCGGUGAAAUGCAUAGAUAUCACGCAGAACUCCGAUUGCGAAGGCAGCAUACCGGCGCCCGACUGACGCUGAGGCACGAAAGCGUGGGGAUCGAACAGGAUUAGAUACCCUAGUAGUC